rnacentral:Y_RNA from 1 species
GUCUGCUCUGAAUGCAGUGAGUUAUUUCAAAUAUUAUUCAUAGUCAGUUAGAAAUUGAACUCCUUCCACUCUUUCCUUCCUAGACUAGUCUUAA